rnacentral:rRNA from 1 species
GGCGAAAGCCUGAUCCAGCAAUGCCGCGUGCAGGAUGAAGGCCUUCGGGUUGUAAACUGCUUUUGUACGGAACGAAAAGCUUCGGGUUAAUACCCUGGAGCCAUGACGGUACCGUAAGAAUAAGCACCGGCUAACUACGUGCCAGCAGCCGCGGUAAUACGUAGGGUGCAAGCGUUAAUCGGAAUUACUGGGCGUAAAGCGUGCGCAGGCGGUUUUGUAAGACAGAGGUGAAAUCCCCGGGCUCAACCUGGGAACUGCCUUUGUGGCUGCAAGGCUAGAGUACGGCAGAGGGGGAUGGAAUUCCGCGUGUAGCAGUGAAAUGCGUAGAUAUGCGGAGGAACACCGAUGGCGAAGGCAAUCCCCUGGGCCUGUACUGACGCUCAUGCACGAAAGCGUGGGGAGCAAACAGGAUUAGAUACCCUGGUAGUCCACGCCCUAAACGAUGUCAACUGGUUGUUGGGUCUUAACUGACUCAGUAACGAAGCUAACGCGUGAAGUUGACCGCC